rnacentral:rRNA from 1 species
UACAGAGGGUGCAAGCGUUAAUCGGAAUCACUGGGCUUAAAGCGUUCGUAGGCGGGCUCGCAGGCGCGUUGUGAAAGCCCCCGGCUCAACCGGGGAACUGCUUCGCGAACCGCAAGUCUUGAGUCAAGUAGGGGCGGUCGGAACGAUAGGUGGAGCGGUGAAAUGCGUAGAUAUCUAUCGGAACGCCAAAGGUGAAGACAGGCCGCUGGGCUUGUACUGACGCUGAGGAACGAAAGCGUGGGGAGCAAACGGG